rnacentral:misc_RNA from 1 species
UUUUUUUUUUUUAAAUUAAAAAAAUAUUUUUCUUGUAUUGCCUGUUGUUUGUGCAUUAUGUUGUUAUGUUUCAUACUCUUCUAUUGAUAUGUUAAGUAUUGAUGUCUGGUCUGGACACUUGACUGCUUAUCUUCAAAUCUACUAACUUGUGGCAGUGCACAGACAUGAUAAAUGCUGAAUUGGAUUCUUCUUCUAGCAUUUAGAUAUCUGGCCAAAUUGACCCUAAUAAGCUGAGAUUAAGGUAGGUUGUGUUUUGUGG